AUGGUGCGGAACGUCCGAGGGCUAAAUGCGCCUGCCCAUCGGAACGCGGUUUUCCAAGUGGUGACUCAGGCUAGACCAACCAUUAUGUGUCUCCAAGAAACAAAAAUGCAUGAUGUAUCGCUAAGCGUUGUACGACAAUGCCUCGGUGCUAAGUUUGAGAAGUUUUUCUAUUUUCCUGCAUCCGGAACACGCGGUAUGUCAGUGUCAAAACCGACAGAUCUCGGGUAG
rnacentral:rRNA from 1 species